ACAAGCUCUGCCACCUGGAGCAGCCAAUAACAUCUUGCAUGGACCUACAUUCAUCUUUCCCAUGGGCCAACAGCCUCAUGCAGCUGCUACAAUAGCUGCUGCAUCUGUCAGACCUUCUAAUAGUGGUAUCACAUCUUCU